rnacentral:rRNA from 1 species
GAUGAACGCUAGCGGCAGGCUUAACGCAUGCAAGUCGAGGGGCAUCACGGGUAGCAAUACCUGGUGGCGACCGGCGCAAGGGUGCGUAACGCGUGAGCAACAUGCCCUAUACAGGGGGAUAAUCCAGGGAAACUUGGUCUAAUAUCCCAUAGCAUUUAGAGGUGGCAUCACCAUUAAAUUAAAGCUUCGGUGGUAUAGGAUUGGCUCGCGUGACAUUAGCUAGAUGGUGGGGUAACGGCUCACCAUGGCUAUGAUGUCUAGGGGUUCUGAGAGGAAGACCCCCCACACUGGGACUGAGACACGGCCCAGACUCCUACGGGAGGCAGCAGUGAGGAAUAUUGGACAAUGGAUGGAAAUCUGAUCCAGCCAUGCCGCGUGCAGGAAGACGGCCCUAUGGGUUGUAAACUGCUUUUAUAUGGGAGCAAUAAGGUCUACGAGUAGACCGAUGAGAGUACCAUAUGAAUAAGCAUCGG